GUAGGGGAUUGGAGCGUCUGCCGGAUAAUUUUGGACUCCGCAGAGUUUGCUAUCUAGCUCGACCUAGGGACUCAUAAUCCGUUGGUCGCGGGUUCGAGCCCCGCCCGCCCCACCA
rnacentral:tRNA from 1 species